CAAGCACACGCGACGCGCGCUGUGCCUUCUCUCUCGCUGCUGCCGAGCUCCAGACUCCAAGGCAAAGCCUACAAACACAUGGAGCCGUCGUCAGCGGCGGCACGGUUGCUUCUGCUGGUGGCCGUGGCGGCGGUGGCCGCGGCCAGUGGCGCCACCACGGGCGCGCUGGCCGCGACGCCGUCGCCCCGCCCCAACCCCAAGCUCAGGGGCCUGCGCGUGCGCCUGACGCACGUGGACGCGCACGGCAACUACUCGAGGCUGCAGCUGCUGCAGCGGGCGGCGCGCCGGAGCCACCACCGCAUGUCGCGGCUCGUGGCGCGGGCCACCGGCGCGGCGUCGACCAGCAGCAGCAAGGCGGCCGCCGCCGGGGACGGGUCAGGAGGAAAGGACCUCCAGGUGCCUGUCCACGCGGGCAACGGCGAGUUCCUCAUGGACCUGUCGGUCGGCACGCCCGCGCUGCCGUACGCGGCCAUCGUGGACACGGGCAGCGACCUGGUGUGGACGCAGUGCAAGCCGUGCGUGGAGUGCUUCAACCAGACCACGCCCGUGUUCGACCCGGCCGCGUCCUCCACCUACGCCGCGCUGCCGUGCUCCAGCGCCUUGUGCGCCGACCUGCCCACCUCCACCUGCGCGUCCUCGUCCUCGUCGUCGUCCGCGUCCAGCCCGUGCGGCUACACCUACACCUACGGCGACGCCUCGUCGACGCAGGGCGUGCUGGCCACCGAGACCUUCACGCUGGCGAGGCAGAAGGUCCCGGGCGUCGCGUUCGGCUGCGGGGACACCAACGAGGGCGACGGCUUCACGCAGGGCGCCGGGCUCGUGGGGCUCGGCCGCGGGCCGCUCUCGCUCGUGUCCCAGCUCGGCAUCGACCGCUUCUCCUACUGCCUCACCUCCCUCGACGACGCCGCCGGCCGCAGCCCGCUCCUCCUGGGCUCCGCCGCCGGCAUCUCGGCGAGCGCCGCCACCGCGCCCGCGCAGACCACCCCGCUGGUGAAGAACCCGAGCCAGCCGUCCUUCUACUACGUGUCCCUCACGGGGCUCACCGUCGGCUCCACCAGGCUCGCGCUCCCGAGCUCGGCCUUCGCGAUCCAGGACGACGGCACGGGCGGCGUCAUCGUCGACUCCGGCACCUCCAUCACGUACCUGGAGCUGCGCGCCUACCGCGCGCUGCGGAAGGCGUUCGUGGCGCACAUGUCGCUGCCCACGGUGGACGCCUCCGAGAUCGGGCUGGACCUCUGCUUCCAGGGCCCCGCCGGGGCCGUCGACCAGGACGUGCAGGUGCAGGUGCCCAAGCUGGUGCUCCACUUCGACGGCGGCGCCGACCUCGACCUCCCCGCCGAGAACUACAUGGUGCUCGACUCCGCCUCCGGCGCGCUCUGCCUCACGGUCAUGGCGUCGCGGGGCCUCUCCAUUAUCGGCAACUUCCAGCAGCAGAACUUCCAGUUCGUGUACGACGUCGCCGGGGACACGCUCUCGUUCGCGCCCGCGGAGUGCAACAAGUUGUGACGUGUGCCGCGCCGUGCCGGGUGUACGUGUAUGCGUGUAGGCGAAGGCGAUUCGUAUUGGAUUGGAUGGGCCGGUUGGGUCUUCAUGUGACGACGCCCGGGUGGUUACCGGUCAGCGAUCAAUAUGUUGACGUGCGGAGUAUAUAUCAUGUUCAUCGUCACGCGCUGUUUUUUCAUCUUCUUUUACUGCUGGAACAAUGGUGUCCUCGCUUUAUGAUUUGGUUUGCGUCUCUUGGGCGGAGGCGGAGACCCAUUUGGUCAAUGUGAUGGCCUCAAAUUGACUUGCGAAAUCCCUGCCUUGCCAGAUAUGAGAUAUCUAUCUGCUUUGACUUUCUUUAUACCGUCUCGAU
rnacentral:misc_RNA from 1 species